rnacentral:lncRNA from 1 species
AUGUCAGGUGGAUCAGAGAGCUACAGUCAUGGGGGUCAGGUGAGAAACAGGAAAGAAGGAACUAUGGGGAAAUGGAGUGAAUGUCAGGUGUAUCACAGAGAUAUAGUCAUGGGGGUCAGGUGUGGUAUCCAGAAUAAUGUGGGAGGCCGGAUUGAAGUUCAGGCCAGGAACAAUGGUAAUUGUGGGAGACUCAACAAAGAGUGAGUGUAGCCAAAGGAGUCGGAGGGCAGAAAGUAUAUGCAUCAGGUAUGAGGAAGGAAAUAGAUUCUGGAAGUUAUGAGAACUGUAGAGAAUGAGUUGAGCAUAGUUUGUGAUUUUGAGGGCCUCUAAAAGUAUUAAAGCAGCGGCAGCCGCGACACACAGACAUGAGGGCUAAACUAAAAGAGUAAGGUCAAGUUGUUUGGACAGAAAGGUCCUGUAUAGCGAGGUCCCAGCUUUUGGGUAAGAAUUCUAACCACACAGCCCUGCACUUUGGCUGUGUGUAAUGAAAAAUGUUGGGAUGAGUUAGGCAGAGCUAGUGUGGGAGCAGCUUAAAAAGCUUCUAAAGAAUAAUGGGUUGUGGAGGGAGAUAUUGAGGAUAGGAGAGUAUAUGGGUUUGGCACCACGGGGUGCAGAAGUAAAAUAAUAUUACAUAACCUCUUCCAUGUAGGUACUUUUCUGGUUGAUAAGGUGCAGAUCCUGAACUAACCUGUAAGACUUAUCCAGUUUUUGGACAGGUAAAAUGGGGUAAUUGUAAGGAGAAUUUGUAGGCUUUAAAAGGCCAUGCUGUACCAGGCGAGUGAUAACAGGCUUUAAUCCUUUUAAAGCGUUAUCCUUUUAAAGCGUUUAAAACUGUGGGAUGGGAUAUUGGCAUUGAGCGGGGUAAGGGUGAUUCGGUUUUAAUGGGAUGGUAAGGGAUGCAUGAUCGGUCUCCAAGGAGGGAGUAGAGGUAUCCUAUACUUGUGGAUUAAGUUGGGGAGAUACAAGCGGAGGAUGUGAAAGAGGCUUUGAAUUGAGGAAAAGGGCAGCAAUAAAGUAUGGCUGUAGCCCAGGAAUAAUCAGGGAAGCAGAUAAUUUAGUUAAAAUGUCUCAACCUAAUAAAGGAGCUGGGCAGGUGGGGAUAACUAAAAAGGAGUGCUUAAAAGAAUGUUGUCCAAGUUGGCACCAGAGUUGGGGAGUUUUAAGAGGUUUAGAAGCCUGGCCGUCAAUACCCACAACAGUCAUGGAGGCAAGGGAAACGAGCCCGUGAAAAGAAGGUAAUGUGGAGUGGGUAGCCUCCGUAUUAAGAAGGGGAUGGACUCACCCUUCACUGUAAGAGUUACCCAAAGCAUCUGUGAUGGUCCUGUAGGCUUCUGAGGCAAUCGGAGAAGAGUCAGUCUUCAGCCACUAAGCCAAGAAGAUCUGGGAAGGAGUCAGAGAGCCUUGGGCCAGAAUUCCAGGGGCUCUGGGAGUGAUUGUUGGGUUGGAUAUUCUGAUU